rnacentral:rRNA from 1 species
UACGGAGGGUGCAAGCGUUGCUCGGAAUUAUUGGGCGUAAAGCGCACGUAGGCGGUCUGUUAAGUCGGAUGUGAAAGCCCCGGGCUCAACUCGGGAAGUGCAUUCGAAACUGGCAGGCUUGAAUAUGGAAGAGGGUCGCGGAAUUCCCGGUGUAGAGGUGAAAUUCGUAGAUAUCGGGAGGAACACCAGUGGCGAAGGCGGCGACCUGGGCCAAUAUUGACGCUGAGGUGCGAAAGCGUGGGGAGCAAACAGG